UACGUAGGGGGCAAGCGUUGUCCGGAAUUAUUGGGCGUAAAGCGCGCGCAGGCGGUCAAUUAAGUCUGGUGUAUAAACCAAGGGCUCAACCUUUGGACGCAUUGGAAACUGGUUGACUGGAGUGUAGGAGAGGAAAGUGGAAUUCCACGUGUAGCGGUGAAAUGCGUAGAGAUGUGGAGGAACACCAGUGGCGAAGGCGACUUUCUGGCCUAUAACUGACGCUGAGGCGCGAAAGCGUGGGGAGCGAACAGG
rnacentral:rRNA from 1 species